CCAGUGUGAUGUCACCUUGUCCCUGGAGCCAACCAAGGUUUGCACUGCUGAGUGCCCCUUACUUCUGUUUGAGCUCUUCUGGCUUUUUGCCUUCAAUAAUUCAUCUUUGAACUUCAAAAAGAGAGAUGUUUCAGUUGGGAACUACCACCUGUUUUUGAAAGGUAUGCAGAUCACAGCUAUGAGAAGCAGACCCACACUGUAUACCAAAGAGUUUUAUUCCGUCAUGAAGAAGAAUGAAAUUAUGUAAUUUGCAGGAAGAUUGAGGCAAAUGAAGACCAUGAUUUUGAGAGAGAUAAGUCAGACUCAGAAAAGUGUUGAAUGUUCUCUCUUCUAUGUAAAAGCAAGAGAGGAAAAACAGGAACCAAAAGAGAUUCCUUUGAAAUAAGAAGGGAGACUAUUAGGGAUUAGAAACUGAAGGCACAGAAAGAUUCAGAAGUUUGCCCAGGUUCUCAACAUUGAUUGGUUAUCCAUGGCAAACCAUAAAAGGUGAUAUUUUAAAAAGGUAAAGUUUUAGUACUGAAGAGAUUGCUUCUCUGGUUACAUUUCCAGUUAUUAUUACUUCAGAGAUCCUCGAGAGCCAUUAGCCCACCUCACAGUGAAAAGCAAGAAGAAAACACACAACUGUCCAUUAGUGGCCAGAGUGAUUUUCAAUAUUCAGAUGCAGCAGAGACCCGGUGGCAGAUGGAAGAGCUUCAGGCAACAGUUGCUAUACACGUUCUCCUAUCCACACCUCCAUCUGUCAGCACAAGUGUGUUACUAUUUUGGGACUCAAUUUAUCCAUUUGGAGAACAAUUUUCAGGCUUGUUCUUAAGGUUAAAAUGAAAUAAAUUAAAUCUGUAACUCAC